rnacentral:sRNA from 1 species
GGAAAAGAUCCCUGUCACAUGUCAAGCAAUGGGUAUAUGAUAACAUUUGGAAUAGCAGAAGUGAUUUUUUCCCAAAUCCCAGACUUUGAUCAGGUGUGGUGGCUAUCCAUAGUCGCGGCCAUUAUGUCCUUCACGUAUUCUUCAGUUGGAUUGAGUCUUGGCGUGGCGAAAGUGGCAGAAAACAAAACUUUUAAAGGAAGCAUGCUGGGAAUUAGCAUUGGCACAGUGACACAAGCUGGAACAGUAACUGGCACGCAGAAAAUAUGGAGAAGUUUACAAGCUCUGGGAGCAAUGGCCUUUGCAUACUCUUUUUCCAUUAUCCUGAUCGAAAUUCAGGACACCAUAAAAUCUCCUCCUGCAGAGCACAAGACCAUGAGAAAAGCCACAGCCUUGAGCAUCGCAGUUACCACAGUGUUCUAUUUACUCUGUGGAUGCAUGGGGUAUGCAGCUUUCGG